AAAUGUUCGAAGCGCUGGAAUUGAAAUAGUUCGACGUUUUACAGAGGAGGAUGGAGGCUCCAAUCUUCAUAUAGCCAUCAUGAUUCGGGUUUUCCGUGGUUUCUCUAAUUUAUUUCAAGUGGUUACUACUGUAAGGCCACAGCCAACUACCUGUUGCAUCCUUGCCAUACUGUACUGCCCAGCAACAGCCACACACUCACUGACACUCCUGCCUACCUUGUUGAGGGUGCUGACGAGCUUGCGGAUGAUAUUGCAGUCCUGCGGGUUCUCCAAACUGUGCAGCUGCCUGUGGGCAAGGUCGCUCAGCUGGGUGGCCUCAUGUUCCCACCACACCUCGUAGUUGCCCACUCCAGCCUGGUCAUCAAUGUCUGACUGUAAGGACCUGUCCUAGAGAGACAGUUAGUUUAAAUGUCAAUUAACAGUUCACCAAAUGAUCUGAGCUGGAGAAUAUGGAAAAAAUUAAUGGUGUACAAAAAACACACAUAAGGAACAGGAGGUAUCAAAGUAGUUUUGGAAUAUGUACAAAUAGCUGCUACAUGAAUCUGGUCACUGUCCUACCUGUUACAAACUAAGAUAUCAUUAUUGGGCCUCAAAACAUCAACCUCAGCUACACACGAUAAGUCAUAAAUGAGGAAAAAUACAAGAUGAAGCAGCUAAAACCCACCAUACAAAACAUACACGAAAGUAGAAAAUAUACCAAGAUAUGGUUUUCACUAAGUUAUAGCAAAUGGUGUGGUGAAUUUUCUGACAUACAAAAGAAAUUUUUAAUGUUUAUUACUGCCAAAUUAUGACACUAACUUAGUUAUUUUUAAAUGGAUCUAUAUAUCUUUUUCUGUGGCUUCAAAGGGUAUUUCAAACCCAUAGUGUGUGGAACUUAGUAGCAAGAUAACAGCAUCUGCCGUACUGUUCCAAAAGUAAGUAAUCUCUUAACUUGGUUAUGGUUCGAGUGUAUAUCAUUAUGAAAGUCAUAUCAGGUGCACAAAAUGUUGCUCAAUUUCUUCUGGAUCUGUUAAGAAGUGUAGUUAUCUGGAUGAAACAGGAAGUAAUGUUGGUACCACACAUGGAUUGCCUUAUCUCAGUUGUGAUGUUUCCUAGUAACUUCUGUUGGGGACUACAUAGCCAGAUAGAUUUAAAAUUCCUAUCAGUAAAACAGGGACCAAUGAUAUGAUUCCUAUAAAGUUUGCACAGCAUACUGGGUGACCAAGGUAACUGCUUAUCCAUUUCUUUCAACCAGUGCGGAUUUUCAAGUAGACAGAUAGUGCAUAUUGUGAAAAUCUAUUUGCUCAUGUUUUGUAAAUGAUGCUUCAUCCAUAAAGAAAAUCUUACACAGAAACACUGCAUUCAUAGAUUC